GGUGGGUAGUUUGACUGGGGCGGUCUCCUCCUAAAGAGUAACGGAGGAGCACGAAGGUUGGCUAAUCCUGGUCGGACAUCAGGAGGUUAGUGCAAUGGCAUAAGCCAGCUUGACUGCGAGCGUGACGGCGCGAGCAGGUGCGAAAGCAGGUCAUAGUGAUCCGGUGGUUCUGAAUGGAAGGGCCAUCGCUCAACGGAUAAAAGGUACUCCGGGGAUAACAGGCUGAUACCGCCCAAGAGUUCAUAUCGACGGCGGUGUUUGGCACCUCGAUGUCGGCUCAUCACAUCCUGGGGCUGAAGUAGGUCCCAAGGGUAUGGCUGUUCGCCAUUUAAAGUGGUACGCGAGCUGGGUUUAGAACGUCGUGAGACAGUUCGGUCCCUAUCUGCCGUGGGCGCUGGAGAACUGAGGGGGGCUGCUCCUAGUACGAGAGGACCGGAGUGGACGCAUCACUGGUGUUCGGGUUGUCAUGCCAAUGGCACU
rnacentral:rRNA from 2 species